rnacentral:rRNA from 1 species
UACGGAGGAUGCGAGCGUUAUCCGGAUUUAUUGGGUUUAAAGGGUGCGCAGGCGGUCUGUUAAGUCAGCGGUCAAAGCCCGGGGCUCAACCCCGGCCCGCCGUUGAAACUGGCAGUCUCGAGUUGGAGAGAAGUAUGCGGAAUGCGCGGUGUAGCGGUGAAAUGCAUAGAUAUAACUUAGAACACCGAUAGCGAAGGCAGCUUACCAGACUGAGUCUGACGCUGAUGCACGAGAGCAUGGGUAGCGAACAGG